UACGUAGGGGGCAAGCGUUGUCCGGAUUUAUUGGGCGUAAAGAGCGUGUAGGCGGCCAGGUAGGUCGGGUGUGAAAACUCGAGGCUCAACCUCGAGAUGUCGACCGAAACCAUCUGGCUAGAGUCCGGAAGAGGAGAAUGGAAUUCCCGGUGUAGCGGUGAAAUGCGCAGAUAUCGGGAAGAACACCCGUGGCGAAGGCGGUUCUCUGGGACGGUACUGACGCUGAGACGCGAAAGCGUGGGGAGCGAACAGG
rnacentral:rRNA from 1 species